ensembl:lncRNA
CAUGGAAGGCUAUUCGCUGAUGUUUUUGUACCUCUGACCGGAUUCAUUGGGAAAAAGGAAAGCAAGACAGCCGUCAAUAAGUGAUUUUAUAUUUAUAUUUUCUUACUAUUUCUUUGAGGCCAGUCCAGGCUGGGCGUGUGGAGCCGUCUGGAGGGGCUCGGCUGAUGUUUGGGUCCAGGAGGACUCAGCAGCAGCACCAUCUGAAGAAGCCACAGAGAACACGUUACCAGGUGGGAGGGGAAAAUCACGGAUGAGAACCCUUAAAAUGGCAGCCUCUCCCAGCC